AUGAACGCUGGCGGCGUGCCUAAUACAUGCCAGUCGAGCGAACAGAUGAGGAGCUUGCUCCUCUGACGUUAGCGGCGGACGGGUGAGUAACACGUGGAUAACCUACCUAUAAGACUGGGAUAACUUCGGGAAACCGGAGCUAAUACCGGAUAAUAUAUUGAACCGCAUGGUUCAAUAGUGAAAGACGGUUUUGCUGUCACUUAUAGAUGGAUCCGCGCCGCAUUAGCUAGUUGGUAAGGUAACGGCUUACCAAGGCAACGAUGCGUAGCCGACCUGAGAGGGUGAUCGGCCACACUGGAACUGAGACACGGUCCAGACUCCUACGGGAGGCAGCAGUAGGGAAUCUUCCGCAAUGGGCGAAAGCUUGACGGAGCAACGCCGCGUGAGUGAUGAAGGUCUUCGGAUCGUAAAACUCUGUUAUUAGGGAAGAACAAAUGUGUAAGUAACUAUGCACGUCUUGACGGUACCUAAUCAGAAAGCCACGGCUAACUACGUG
rnacentral:rRNA from 1 species